rnacentral:rRNA from 1 species
UGGGGAAUCUUGCGCAAUGGGCGAAAGCCUGACGCAGCAACGCCGCGUGAGCGAAGAAGGCCUUCGGGUUGUAAAGCUCUGUCAGGGGGAAAGAAGGCACCUGGGUUAAUAGCCCAAGGGCUGACGGUACCCCCAGAGGAAGCCACGGCUAACUACGUGCCUGCAGCCGCGGUAAUACGUAGGUGGCGAGCGUUGUCCGGAAUCAUUGGGCGUAAAGAGCGCGUAGGUGGCUUGUCAGGUCCGAUGUGAAAACCUGGGGCUCAACCCCAGGCCUGCAUCGGAAACCGGCUUGCUAGAGUCUGGGAGAGGAGAGUGGAAUUCCUGGUGUAGCGGUGAAAUGCGUAGAUAUCAGGAGGAACACCGGUAGCGAAGGCGGCUCUCUGGAACAGUACUGACGCUGAGGCGCGAAAGCUAGGGGAGCGAACAG